rnacentral:lncRNA from 1 species
AUGAACACUGAAGUGAGUGAAAAGAGACUUUUGCAGUCAUUUUUUUUUCUCAGGUCUCUGGACCAUGAAGGGCCACAUCCAAGGAGCCACCCCAGGAGGCCUCUCAUUUGCAUUUGUCCCCGCUACUGCAGGACAGAGAUCAUGGAAGUUGGGCCCGACUGGAUGAGAUUUGGGGGUCUUUGGAAGUGGUGAAUGUGUUUGCCCUGGGGAAGAGGUGAGUAUGUUCACAGGACAGUUGUGAGUUAUUGUGGUCAGAGGGAAACCUGGGUCAGAUGGGUUACAAAGAUGGGUGCAAAACCCCUCUGUUCUUCAUGCAUGCCUCUCCAAAAUAUGACUUUGCCAUUUCUUUCAUGAAGAGGUGAUGUCUAGGAGACCUCUUCACUCAGGGCAAGCUCUAUGACCUGCUUUGACUCCAGAAUGUGGUAGAAGUGGCAUCACAUAAAUUGCAGAGCCUAGGCUUCAAGAGACCGCAACUUGCCUCUCACUGUCUUGAAGUGCUCCCAUCAGAGCAUCUUGUAAGGAGCAGGUGGAGCAUGUGGACAAGCCAUCCCCACCAGCCCCUGAGACAUGUGAGAGAGGCCAGAACAGGCCAUCAGGACCCCACUGUGCUGGUGGAUGACACAGCAGAAGGAAUAUCAACCUACCAACAGAAUCCUGAGAAAUGCUCACUCUUACUUCAAGCUGCUGCAUUUUGAUGUUA